GUCCUCGCGGCACGCUGAGGGGAGGUGGCGGUCGGUGGCGCCGUGAGGGGCGGGGGGCGGAGCCACAGCUCCUGUUGGUGUCUCCGUCCGCCCGGCUGGGGCAGCAGCUCCCGAGGGAGCAUAACCGAGAGUUCUGGGUGGCGGUAAACGGGGCACGGAACAGAAGCCGUGAGGUAGAGUGGUUGAAUUCCGUGUGCUGGAGCAGUGUGCUGCGCCCGGGGCGCGGGAACGGGCGAGAGGAGAGUCAGAAACCAGAGCGGGACCUGGUGAGCAGUCAGAAUCCAAUAUGAAGUGUGGAUGAAUCACGCCAGGAAAAUAUUGAUUCUUUACCAGGAAAGAUGCUCCUAUUCUCCCAUAUCUCAAAAUCAGC
rnacentral:lncRNA from 14 species